UACGGAUGAUGCAAGCGUUAUCCGGAUUUAUUGGGUUUAAAGGGUGCGCAGGUUGUUUGAUAAGUCAGUGGUGAAAGUCUGUCGCUUAACGGUAGGAUUGCCAUUGAUACUGUUGGACUUGAAUAUGGAUGAGGUUGGCGGAAUGUGUAGUGUAGCGGUGAAAUGCAUAGAUAUUACACAGAACACCGAUUGCGAAGGCAGCUUACUAAUCCAUCAUUGACGCUGAGGCACGAAAGCGUGGGGAUCAAA
rnacentral:rRNA from 1 species